UCUCCAAAUCCAGAUUCUGAAUCUCUUCUCCUCUCCGUCGCCAUCUCUUCUCCUCUCUGUUUCCCAUCUCUUCUCCUCCCCGUCGCCUCCGCCCUCCAGCCGUGCUCCAGAUUCUUGCCCGUCUGCUCCUCUCCACGUUGGCGUCCCUCCACCCGACGACUCGUCGCCUUCCAGCGUCCAGCAGCCGCCUCCUCCCUCAGCCAGCCACGCCGCUCAAGAAGGUUGAAUUGAGUGACUAGUCUAAGCAACUGCACGGCGCCGCCUCCUCCGGGUUCCACCCAGCCGCCGCCUUCGCCUCUUCUCGAGGGUAGCGUCAGCCCUCUCAAGUCUGUGCCUUGAUGUUGAAUAAUGAAAGAGAAACCAUUGGAGAUAGCAUUGAUGUAACUAAAGUUACUCCCCAUGAGGAUGACAAAGGCCAUGAAAAAAAGAGAAGUUCUUCCCUUGAUACUUGGAAGUUUGAUCAAGAAAAGGCUAAGAAGGCUUUAGGUUUUAAGCUAAUUGUUGAUGAGUUGCCUAGAUAUGUAAAUUUUGUUGGUUGAUGUAUGUUAAUCAUGUUAUUAUAGUUUUGUGAUUUUUUUUUAAUUUUGGUUUUUUGGUUUUUUGGUUUUUUCAUACAAUUUCGGUUUUUGGUUGAAAUUUAAAAAAUUUCGGUUUUUCGGUUUAA